rnacentral:rRNA from 1 species
AACGAACGCUGGCGGCAUGCCUAACACAUGCAAGUCGAACGAGACCUUCGGGUCUAGUGGCGCACGGGUGCGUAACGCGUGGGAACCUGCCCUUAGGUUCGGAAUAACUCCCCGAAAGGGGUGCUAAUACCGGAUAAUGUCUUCGGACCAAAGAUUUAUCGCCUUUGGAUGGGCCCGCGUUGGAUUAGCUAGUUGGUAGGGUAAAAGCCUACCAAGGCGACGAUCCAUAGCUGGUCUGAGAGGAUGAUCAGCAACACUGGGACUGAGACACGGCCCAGACUCCUACGGGAGGCAGCAGUUGGGAAUAUUGGACAAUGGGCGAAAGCCUGAUCCAGCAAUGCCGCGUGAGUGAUGAAGGCCUUAGGGUUGUAAAGCUCUGUUACCCGGGAUGAUAAUGACAGUACCGGGAGAAUAAGCUCCGGCUAACUCCGUG